rnacentral:rRNA from 1 species
CCCUACGGGACGCAGCAGUGGGGAAUAUUGCACAAUGGGGGAAACCCUGAUGCAGCGACGCCGCGUGAGUGAAGAAGUAUUUCGGUAUGUAAAGCUCUAUCAGCAGGGAAGAAAAUGACGGUACCUGAGUAAGAAGCCCCGGCUAACUACGUGCCAGCAGCCGCGGUAAUACGUAGGGGGCAAGCGUUAUCCGGAUUUACUGGGUGUAAAGGGAGCGUAGACGGCAGUGCAAGUCUGGAGUGAAAGGCGGGGGCUCAACCCCCGGACUGCUCUGGAAACUGUAUGGCUGGAGUGCAGGAGAGGUA